AGACUUUGAUCCUGGCUCAGGAUGAACGCUGGCGGCGUGCCUAAUACAUGCAAGUCGAGCGAGGUCCUUCGGGACCUAGCGGCGGACGGGUGAGUAACACGUGGGUAACCUGCCUGUAAGACCGGGAUAACUUCGGGAAACCGAAGCUAAUACCGGAUAAUUUCGAGCAUCGCAUGAUGCUUGAUGGAAAGGCGGCUUCGGCUGUCACUUACAGAUGGACCCGCGUCGCAUUAGCUAGUUGGUGAGGUAAUGGCUCACCAAGGCGACGAUGCGUAGCCGACCUGAGAGGGUGAUCGGCCACACUGGGACUGAGACACGGCCCAGACUCCUACGGGAGGCAGCAGUAGGGAAUCUUCGGCAAUGGGCGAAAGCCUGACCGAGCAACGCCGCGUGAGCGAUGAAGGCCUUCGGGUCGUAAAGCUCUGUUGUUAAGGAAGAACAAGUACGAGAGUAACUGCUCGUACCUUGACGGUACUUAACGAGAAAGCCACGGCUAACUACGUGCCAGCAGCCGCGGUAAUACGUAGGUGGCGAGCGUUAUCCGGAAUUAUUGGGCGUAAAGCGCACGCAGGCGGGUGCGCGCGUGGGGUGUGAAAUCUGGCCGCUUAACGGCCAGGCGCCAUCCCAUACGGCGCGCCUGGAGCCUUGCAGAGGGCGGUGGAAUUGCCGGUGUAGUGGUGAAAUGCGUAGAGAUCGGCAGGAACACCCAGGGGGAAACCAGCCGCCUGGGCAAGCGCUGACGCUGAGGUGCGAGAGCGUGGGGAGCGAACCGGAUUAGAUACCCGGGUAGUCCACGCCGUAAACGAUGGCCACUCGGCCUUUGGUGGCGGAACCUCCGUCGCUGGGGGCCUUAGCAAACGCGGGAAGUGGCCCGCCUGGGAACUACGGGCGCAAGCUUAAAACUCAAAGGAAUUGACGGGGGCCCGCACAAGCAGCGGAGCGUGUGGUUUAAUUCGACGCAACGCGCAGAACCUUACCCAGGUUUGACAUGGCACUGCACGCCGCUGAAAGGCGGUCGCCUUCGAGGGUGUGCCACAGAUGCUGCAUGGCUGUCGUCAGCUCCUGUCGUGAAAUGUUGGGUUAAGUCCCGCAACGAGCGCAACCCUUGUCUACUGUUGCCAUCAGGUCAAGCUGGGGCACUCUGGAAAGACUGCCGGGGAUAACCCGGAGGAAGGUGGGGAUGACGUCAAGUCAGCAUGGCCUUUAUGUCUGGGGCUACACACGUGCUACAAUGGCCGGUACAAAGCGCUGCAAGCCCGCGAGGGGGAGCUAAUCGCAUAAAGCCGGUCUCAGUUCGGAUUGUGGGCUGCAACUCGCCUGCAUGAAGUUGGAAUCGCUAGUAAUCGCAGAUCAGCAGGCUGCGGUGAAUACGUUCCCGGGCCUUGUACACACCGCCCGUCACAUCACGAAAGCUGGCUGUACUAGAAGUAGCUGCGCUAACCCGCAAGGGAGGCAGGUUCCUAAGGUAUGGUUAGUGAUUGGGGUGAAGUCGUAACAAGG
rnacentral:rRNA from 1 species